GCGGAGGAAAAGAAACCAACAGGGAUUGCCUCAGUAGCGGCGAGUGAAGCGGCAAAAGCUCAAAUUUGAAAUCUGGCGUCUUUGGCGUCCGAGUUGUAAUUUGAAGAAGGUAUCUUUGGGCCCGGCUCUUGUCUAUGUUCCUUGGAACAGGACGUCACAGAGGGUGAGAAUCCCGUGCGAUGAGAUGACCCGGGUCUGUGUAAAGUUCCUUCGACGAGUCGAGUUGUUUGGGAAUGCAGCUCUAAGUGGGUGGUAAAUUCCAUCUAAAGCUAAAUAUUGGCGAGAGACCGAUAGCGAACAAGUACAGUGAUGGAAAGAUGAAAAGAACUUUGAAAAGAGAGUGAAAAAGUACGUGAAAUUGUUGAAAGGGAAGGGCUUGAGAUCAGACUUGGUAUUUUGCAUGCUGCUCUCUCGGGGGCGGCCGCUGCGGUUUACCGGGCCAGCAUCGGUUUGGAGCGGCAGGAUAAUGGCGGAGGAAUGUGGCACGGCUUCUGCUGUGUGUUAUAGCCUCUGACGAUACUGCCAGCCAAGACCGAGGACUGCGGUUUUUAACCUAGGAUGUUGGCAUAAUGAUCUUAAGUCGCCCGUC
rnacentral:rRNA from 1 species